rnacentral:rRNA from 1 species
GCUUACGGCCACACCACCCUGAGCGCGCCCGAUCUCGUCUGAUCUCGGAAGCUAAGCAGGGUCGGGCCUGGUUAGUACUUGGAUGGGGAGACCGCCUGGAAUACCAGGUGCCGUAAGCU